UUGGUCAUAUGUUUGUGCUGGAAGCAGAGCAAUUCUCUCCAGUAUGUGUACUACAACAUCUGGUAGAAGCAAGCCGGUCUGUCGUUAAGUGUUUUGUGGAGCCACGCUGUUCAUGUGUUAAUUAAACACAUCAGUACCAAGAGGGAGUUUUGUAGCUUUACUGUUUUGUUGUAGGGGAUGUCAUUCUCCAACAGUUUGAGGCCUUUUUGUCCCUUGAGAGCAGAAACGACAAGUUACACUCAUUCUCGCCAAUGCAGAAGAGGCUGGACAUCAUCUUGUGGUUUCAGUAGCAAGGCUUUGGGCUUCCUGUCAGAAGGUGCUCAUCUCAAUCUAGUUACAAACCUAUAAUUACAAUUCAUUACCUGGAAUGAACCGGUUGAGGUGGAGGUGAAAAGACUCCAGAGAAGUGGAGCCGCGCGCCCAGCGAUACACUGGCAGAAUCACUCCGCCCUUGGUGAUUGUGCCAGUCUGGGUGUUCUGCUGUACACUCGGAGGGUCCUGGAUGCACUUGAGGUGACGCCUCUGCUCUUGCCAGAUUGCUCGGAUGCGAACGGGAUCCAGCAGCGGGAUGCCCAGGGUGUCGUGCCCCUUCUCACUGUUGAAGACCUCCAACAUCUCUAUCAGGAGCAGCUCCGUCUCUGCAGCGUGUGCGGCGGCGGCAGUGAAGAGCCAUUUCCUUCCUCCUGAGGUGGCUGUAGACCUCCCUGUCAGUGAGACCGACCAUCCCGCGCCUCCCCUCCAGCUCGGACCGCUUGGCCUCCAGCAGUCGACGGACAUCCCCAGCAUCCCAUUCGAAAAUGCUGGAGGACAGCUGUCGCAUGAAGGCCCCGUACAGCUGGUGGCUCUCAGAAACAACACCUGCUGCGAACCGCCGCAUCAGGUGCCAGAUGUCAAGAUGAACCACCAUCUGGGCCCACUCGGGAAACAUGGCAGCAGUCUUGGAUCCGCCGACGCUAGAGCAACAGUCUCGGUCCACGUACAUGAGCUCGGGGGGCGGUACGCCUGCGAGUCGGUACCGCUCCAUAAGCCCAGAACGCAAUUCAGGACCUGCCCGUGCUCGUUGCCCACAUCCGUGGCCCAGGCGGCUGUGUCAGAAGCUGCCCCGGCGAGUUUAUUGGUCACCUGAAACCAAGAAACAAAGCAAUUGUGUGAGUGAGAUUGUGUUUCAUGGUAUUGGUCAUUUUGGCAGAUGACGUGUUCUUUAUUAAAAAUGCAAUGACAAACUAAAAACUACUACAAACUAAUGUGGUAUGCUUACAAUAUUGACCAAAAAGUACACUGUGGCAUGUGACACUUAAUACGGUAUGAAAGUUGGUUACCUUCUUUGUGGAGUCCAUCUUUAAGAUUGACCCAAAGACAGAGGUGACCCUGGCCUUCAACUCAUCCAGCCGUGACAGUACGCCCAUGCUGUAGACUGGCAGCAGCCAGACCGGUGAGGGGACCUUUGGCAUUUCCGGGAGUGGUGGAAAUUGUGGCCGGAUGUUUCCGGAGGUCAUAAAGUGCUGGCACUCGCCGAGGUACUGAAUGGACCGUCGCAUCCAGGCUUCGCUGUGGCUCUCACACAGCUUCUUGUACAGCUGAGUUGCACUGUUCCCCAAAGAGCGCUCCCUCAGCAUCACUACAACCGCAAGGUCACAGGAAAGCCUGGAGAGAGAGGAUAUUUUUUCAUGAUGUCAGAAUAGCUGGAAACUGGCAGCGAUGCGCAGGAUCCAGCUGACCCAAGAUGCCCUGGGACCAGCCCGCC